CAGCUAGCUCUUUGCAACUCUUACAUACUCGCCCACUGAAGCUAAGCAGGGCUGCGCCCGGUCAGUACUUGUAUGGGAGACCACAUGGGAAAGCUAGGUGGCUGCCGGA
rnacentral:rRNA from 1 species